rnacentral:rRNA from 1 species
GGUGAACGCUGGCGGCGUGCUUAAGACAUGCAAGUCGAACGGCAGUCUUCGGACUGUAGUGGCGCACGGGUGAGUAACGCGUAACUUACCUACCCCAAAGUCGCGGAUAACGAUUCGAAAGAAUCGCUAAUACGUGAUGUGCUGUCAGAUUGUGUUCUGCCAGUAAAGAUUGAUUGCUUUGGGAUGGGGUUGCGUUCCAUCAGCUAGUUGGUGGGGUAAAGGCCCACCAAGGCGACGACGGAUAGCCGGCCUGAGAGGGUGGCCGGCCACAGGGGCACUGAGACACGGGUCCCACUCCUACGGGAGGCAGCAGUUAGGAAUCUUCCACAAUGGGCGAAAGCCUGAUGGAGCGACGCCGCGUGAGGGAUGAAGGUCUUCGGAUCGUAAACCUCUGAAUCAGGGACGAAAGACACUUCGGUGGGAUGACGGUACCUGAGUAAUAGCACCGGCUAACUCCGUGCCAACCGCCGCGGUAAUAC